GUUACAUCUAAACAUUGCCCAAAGGUUAGCAGGUCUCCGGGGUGCAUUUGAUCUGCAAAUAAUUUCCGAACGGAGCGAAAGCAGAGCAAAUAACAAUUCCUAAGCCCCGGCUUCACAAAGACGGAAGGGUUUCCAUUGAUUUUUAUACUUUGCUUGUCUAUAUAAAAACAAAGACCUGGCUACUUUCUGGAGCCUCAGUCACACCAGGCGCUGUCUGGAAUGGUCUUCCUUCCCACCCCUUGUAUUUAAACAAAGCGCAUCUCCUUUCCAGACUCAGGACAGUGCGAGUAUCUGUUCCUAAAGGGAAGGCUAACCGAUGCUGACCAGCUUGUCUGCUUUGACGGACCAAAGAAAGGGGAGAGGGAAGGGGAAGUGACUGUUGAUUGCCCAGCUCUUUGUAAAGAGGAUGAGAAAUCUGUCAGAGAAACAUCACUCCUGCCUCAGGCUGGGAACAAACUACUGGGGCCUGCCUAGACCUGAGCCCUUUUAAAUGCAUCACUACAUGUCCACUUUACGUAAUGAGACAUUUAAGCUGUCAGCAUUCAGACCAGAAGCAGAAACACCAAAUCAGGAACAUAUCAGUAGUCCAUCAAGUCUGGUAUCCUGUCUCCAACUGUGGCUAGUACUAGAAUCUUCAGCAGAAGAUCUAAAGCAUCCAAAAUGGACCUCAUGAAAGGUGGUGCUGAUGGCAUUGGUAGCCCAAGUUAAACCAGGAAGUGCCAAAACUUACUUAAGAAAAGCUGUUCUGAGAUUCUUAUUGUAUAUCCAAGAACUGUGGUUGGUUCAGUAAAGCAUCAGAACUUCCUAGGUUUUGAAGACUAUCCUAGCUCAAAACCUCUCUGAGCUUCCCUCAUCAUGAUAUUGAAUACAUGAAGAAGCUGCUUUGUCAAUUUGUUACAAGUGCACACUGCUUUGAACGAAACAGGAGACAACAUUCAAUCAUGUGUCUUCUUUCCCUUUCAUCUCUCUCCGCCCUUGCCACCCGCAAAUGACUCACAGAGCUUCUUUCAGGGAUUUCUUUAGUAACUGACCUUCUUUACGACUGAAGGAAAGGAUGGUAUUGCCUCUCCCUGCAUUGGAGGUGAAAUGAGUCAUCAUUUGCUAUUUCUGGAGUCAGAGGCAUGAAGCCUGCAGAUUUCUCUGCUGCUGACGACAAUUGAGAGGUCAUGUCGAAGGCAGAGGGUGGGGGGAAAUCAAAACCAAAUAUAGUCAUGUAUAUAUGUGGUAAAUCUGUGUAAAAUUCAGUGGUUUCUCCUUGUUAUGAUUCAUACAAGCUUUUGCACAGUUUCAGCUCUUAUGGGUUCUCACUGUGAAUUUUGCUUUGAAGUUCUGGUUUAAACUAAAAUGAGAUGUCUGAACAACACCAAAAAUCCCAUCUUCUUGGGCCAUUAGGAUGCAAUAUGGCCCCAAUGUAAUUCAAUGCUGUUUGGUGGGCAGCACACACAAGACCAAGUCAUAUAUUAGCCAUGUUCCGAUACACAGCUAUGAGCCUGCAAAAGUUGAAGGUUAUAGUAUGAUUUGGGGAACUUGAGUAAAACACUGGUCCCAUCUACACAGAAAUCAAACCAUGUCAAAUGAUUAUCGUGUCUGAACUUGGUUCCCCCUACAAAUGUAAGGAUUAGAAUGUAGAUGGGACUAAAGUCUCAGAGCUGAACUCAACUAAAACCAGAAGGUUUCACCUGCUUUCGGGACAAAACCACCAUGUUUUGCAUAUUUAUUUUCCACCAAUCUGACUAGAGUUUCCAGUUUGUAUGGACACCUGAAACUGGGUGCAUUUUGCUUUGGGGCAAAAGUCUUCGUUAGUUCCAGUACAGGGGCAGAAAGGGCUUUUCAGGGUGUGUGUAAGCCACCAACCCUAUUUCUCCCCCUCCCACACACACUUCUGCUGUGAAAAUAAAGACUGUUAGGGGCCAAGUUGAGUACCUAAA
rnacentral:lncRNA from 1 species